UUAAGUGAACAAGGGCAUACGGCGGAUGCCUUGGCGCCAAGAGCCGAUGAAGGACGCGGUAAGCUGCGAAAAGGCAUGGGUAGGAGCAAGCAUCCUGUGAUCCAUGCAUAUCCGAAUGGGGCAACCCACCAUCAGUCAUGUGAUGGUACGAAAGAGGCAGACCUGGGGAACUGAAACAUCUAAGUACCCAGAGGAAAAGUAAUCAAUUGAGAUUCCCUAAGUAGCGGCGAGCGAAAGGGGAAGAGCCCAAACCAUGAAACUUCGGUUUUGUGGGGUUGAGGACCGGCAUAAAGAGGAAACUUCUUAGUCGAAUGGUUUGGAAAGGCCAUGCACAGAAGGUAAAACACCUGUAGGCGAAAAGAAGUCAAUCGGGCUGGUAUCCAGAGUACUGCGAGACACGUGAAACCUUGCAGGAAGCAGGGGGGACCACCCUCCAAGGCAAAAUACUACUUGGCGACCGAUAGCGCAUAGUACCGUGAGGGAAAGGUGAAAAGAACCCCGGGAGGGGAGUGAAAUAGAACCUGAAACCGUAUGUCUACAAGCAGUCGAAGCACCUUAAGAGUGCGACGGCGUGCCUAUUGAAGAAUGAACCGGCGAGUUACAUUAUGUUGCGAGGUUAAGUGGGAGACACGGAGCCGAAGCGAAAGCGAGUCUUAAUAGGGCGACUAGUAACAUGGUGUAGACCCGAAACCGCAGUGAUCUAUCCAUGGUCAGGUUGAAGCGCAGGUAAAAAUGCGUGGAGGACCGAACCCGUGAGUGUUGAAAAACUUUGGGAUGAACCGUGGAUAGGGGUGAAAUGCCAAUCGAACGCGGAGAUAGCUGGUACUCCCCGAAAUAGCUUUAGGGCUAGCCUCAGGGAAGAUUAUAGACGGUAGAGCACUGAUCUGGCAAGGGGGCGUAAAGCCUACCGACCCUAGUCAAACUUCGAAUGGCUAUAAUUAAGACCCUGGGAGUCAGACUGCGAGUGAUAAGACCCGUAGUCAAGAGGGAAACAGCCCAGACCGCCGACUAAGGUCCCCAAUGCUGUACUAAGUGGAAAAGGAUGUAAGACUUCAUAAACAACCAGGAUGUUGGCUUAGAAGCAGCCACCAUUAAAAGAGUGCGUAAUAGCUCACUGGUCGAGAGGCCUUGCGCCGAAGAUGUCCGGGGCUCAAGUACAGAACCGAAGUCGCGGCAGGAUUAUAUAAUUCUGGGUAGGGGAGCGUUGUAUAUCCGACUGAAGGUGUACCGGAAGGAGCGCUGGAGGAUAUACAAGAGAGAAUGCCGGUAUGAGUAGCGAAAAGAACAGUGAGAAUCUGUUCCACCGAAAGCCUAAGGUUUCCUGAGCAACGCUCGUCGACUCAGGGUAAGUCGGGACCUAAGCCGAGGCAAAAAGCAUAGGCGAUGGACAACAGGUUAAUAUUCCUGUACCGCUUCAAAUCGUUUGAGCAAUGGAGUGACACAGAAGGUAGCUUGAGCACGCGAAUGGAUGUGCGUGUCGAAGGUGGUAGGUUGCAGUAUAGGUAAAUCCGUACUGUAUAAGACCGAGAACUGAUAGAUAGACGAUACUUCGGUAAAGUCAAAUUCAAGUGAGCCAUGCUGUCGAGAAAAGCUUCUAGUGAGAGAUGAGGCGCCCGUACCGAAACCGACACAGGUAGGCGGGGAGAGAAUCCUAAGGUGCGCGGGACAACCCUCGUUAAGGAACUCGGCAAAUUGUAUCCGUAACUUAGGGAUAAGGAUAGCCGGAGGAUGUGAAGGGAUUUACUUCUGGAGCGUCAGCCGGUGGCACAAGAGAGGCCCAAGCGACUGUUUAGCACAAACACAGGUGCCUGCAAAAGAGAAAUCUGACGUAUAGGUGCUGACACCUGCCCGGUGCUGGAAGGUUAAGAGGAGGGCUUAGAGGAAACUCGAAGGCUUGAAUUGAAGCCCCAGUAAACGGCGGCCGUAACUAUAACGGUCCUAAGGUAGCGAAAUUCCUUGUCGGGU
rnacentral:rRNA from 1 species